rnacentral:rRNA from 1 species
GGAGGAAGGUGGGGACGACGUCAAGUCAUCAUGGCCCUUACGUGUAGGGCUACACACGUGCUACAAUGGCGCAUACAGAGUGCUGCGAACCUGCGAGGGUAAGCGAAUCACUUAAAGUGCGUCGUAGUCCGGAUUGGAGUCUGCAACUCGACUCCAUGAAGUCGGAAUCGCUAGUAAUCGCAUAUCAGAAUGAUGCGGUGAAUACGUUCCCGGGCCUUGUACACACCGCCCGU